UUGACGGUACCCUACUAGAAAGGAGCCGCUAACUUCGUGCCAGAAGCGUCGGUAAUACGGGGGCUCCAAGCGUUAUCCGGUGUUAUUGGGCGUAAAGAGUCGUGUAGGUGGUUGGGUAAGUUAUCUUUCAAAUAUCUUUGCUUAACAAAGAGGAGGGGGAUAAUACUGCUCGACUAGAAUUUUCUCAAGGGAGAUCGGAACUGAGGGAGGAGUAGUGAAAUGCGUUGAUACCCUCGGGAACACCAGUGGCGUAGGCGGAUCUCUGGGAGAAGAUUGACACUGAGACACGAAAGCUAGGGGAGCGAAGCAGAUUAGAGACCUGCGUAGUCCUAGCCGUAAACGCAUGCUUGCUAGCUGCAUGAAUCUACCUUCGGGUGGUAUCGUGUGGCGAAGGUAACCCGUUAAGCAAGCCGCCUGGAAAGUACGGCCGCAAGGCUGAAAUUCAAAGGAAUUGGCGGGGAGGCACACAACCAGUGGAACAUGUGGUUUAAUUCGAGACUAACCGAAGAACCUCACCAGGGUUUGACAUGUAGCUGCACGUCUUAAGAAAUUAAGACUCUCUUGAAGGUGCUACACAGGUGCUGCAUGGCUGUCGUCAGCUCGUUCCGUGAGGAGUGCCCUUAAGUGGGACAACGAGCGCAACCCCUAUUACAUGUUAGAAAUGUCAUGUAAGACUGCCUUGCCAUUUGGCGGGGAGGAAGGAGGGGCAGACGUCAAGUCCGCAUGGUCCUUAUGCCCUGGGCUACACACAUGUUACAAUGAGUACGGCAAUGAGUCUGUCGCGAGCACGUAAGUGUAAGCUAAUCCCUUAAAUGUACUCUCAGUGGGGAUUGAGGUCUGCAACUCGACCUCAUGAACACGGAAUUGGUAGUAAUCGCGGGUCAGCUAUACCGCGGUGAUACGUUCUUGCCUCUUGCACACACCGCCCGUCAAACCAGCAAAGU
rnacentral:rRNA from 1 species